UGCCAUUGUAGCUGCACCAUCUCUUCUCUGGUGAAGGAGCAGUUGGUUCUUUAGCCACAUCUAAGGGAAAGUCAUCAAUGGGGAAAUAUUACUACUAGGACUGAACUUAAUCAGAAGAUUCUUCACACAAAUGGAGCUUAUGGUUUGACAUUUCCUCUCUUAUUGAAUGGUUGAAUGCAUUUUGUAAGGAGUUACAACAUACAUGGAUGAAGGGAUUUGAGAUCAAUAAUUUUCAUUUUUAUUGUGGUUUAUUAUAU